rnacentral:misc_RNA from 1 species
CGGCAAGAAAGAGAGAAUUCGAGCAGUGAAUUCAAAUGGUGUAAUGUUGGAUUCGGGAAGUGUGGUCCUUUGAGGUGAAAAAUUGAUGAAAUUGGACGAAGAGUGAAGAGUAAGAGAUCAAAGAAGAGUGGAGAAGUGGAAUAAUUUGAAUAGGAACGGUUGCACUAGGGUUUGGGAAGGGGCGGAGAGCAAAUGAGGAGAGGACUAAGUUUUUUCAGGAUUUGGUAUUUCUCCUCCCG